rnacentral:rRNA from 1 species
GACGAACGCUGGCGGCGUGCUUAACACAUGCAAGUCGAACGGUGAAGCGCCUUCCUUUUUGGUGGGUGUGGAUGAGUGGCGAACGGGUGAGUAACACGUGAGUAACCUGCCCCCUUCUUCUGGAUAACCGCAUGAAAGUGUGGCUAAUACGGGAUAUUCUGGGUCUGUCGCAUGAUGGGUCUGGGAAAGAUAUUGUUUCGGUGGGGGAUGGGCUCGCGGCCUAUCAGCUUGUUGGUGGGGUGAUGGCCUACCAAGGCGGUGACGGGUAGCCGGCCUGAGAGGGUGGACGGUCACACUGGGACUGAGACACGGCCCAGACUCCUACGGGAGGCAGCAGUGGGGAAUAUUACACAAUGGGCGCAAGCCUGAUGCAGCGACGCCGCGUGAGGGAUGGAGGCCUUCGGGUUGUGAACCUCUUUCGCCAGUGAAGCAGGCCUGCCUCGUUUGUGGGUGGGUUGACGGUAGCUGGAUAAGAAGCGCCGGCUAACUACGUG